CCUCUUCCCAUCCCGAACAGAGAAGUUAAGCCCUGCAGCGCCGAUGGUACUGGGGUUACACCCGGGAGAGUAGGUCGCCGCCACAU
rnacentral:rRNA from 1 species